rnacentral:rRNA from 1 species
UACGUAGGGUGCAAGCGUUGUCCGGAAUUAUUGGGCGUAAAGAGCUCGUAGGCGGUUUGUCGCGUCUGCUGUGAAAACUGGAGGCUCAACCUCCAGCCUGCAGUGGGUACGGGCAAACUAGAGUGCGGUAGGGGAGAUUGGAAUUCCUGGUGUAGCGGUGGAAUGCGCAGAUAUCAGGAGGAACACCGAUGGCGAAGGCAGCUCGCUGGGACGGUACUGACGCUGAGACGCGAAAGCGUGGGGAGCGAACAGG